rnacentral:lncRNA from 1 species
GUGUGUGUGUGUGUGUGUGUGCCCCUGCGCGCGCGUGUUGUAGCUCUGUCAAUCCUUGGAUUAGAACCAAUGAUUGCAGCUUGUAGGAGGGCUGUCCAGGGCCAGAUUGUACAAUGUGCCUCAGUGCCAGAGUAUGAGUGGAGAUAAUUACGGAGAAGUCAGACUCUCUCUCGCCCUCGGCUUCCUUGUUGUGUCCUUCAGCAAAACAGUGGAUUUAAAUCUCCUCGGACUAGCUUGAGAGCAACACAAUCUAUCAGGAGGAAAAAAGAAAGAGAGACAGAGG